CUUGUAUUUACACUCUCACACAAACACACACAGAAACAUUUUUAUAUCUUGGUGGGGAAGAAAUGUCCCCACAAUGAUAGGAAAAUCUGAUAGUUUAGACAUUGUGUGGACAUUAGGCUGGUGCCCAAAAAGGAUUUUAUUAUUAUUAUUAUUACACACAAAAACUGCAGCUUUUAUAAAAAAAUAAAAAAAUAAAUAAAAUAAAAUAAAAAUUAAUUAAAAGAGCCCACUGGUUUCCUAUUGGUUACAUAGGUUUAGGUUAGGGUUAGAUUUAGAUUAAGCAUAUUACUUGGUCAAAAAAAUAAAAAGCUUUGAAAAUCCUCAAAAGAAUAUUAAGGCAAAUGUGUGUGUGUGUGUGUGUGUGUGUGUGUGUGUGUGUGUGUGUGUGUGUGUGUGUGUGUCAUGCACAGCCUUCCUGGGUGUGUUCUUGCCUGUCAAAUAUAUCCAGCAACAUUUGAUCCUCCCGUACCUUGUAUCUGGGUAUGACGAAAGAAGGAAAAAAAAGACAAUUCUCACUGGAUCUCUUCCACAAUGUACCAGACCAUUUAACAAGACCUCCUCCUCUUUAUCAACAUCAUAAAUGACUCCUUAAGAUCUGGUCAUAUACUGACUGCUGACUGGCCUGCCGUCUGACUGCCUACUGACAGCAAGGGUUAUACUCUGAAAAAGCCCACACUGGAUACCUCAGCUACCGACUGAUAAUGACAUCCAAAAUACUACCAUUCUGUCACAUGUGGUAUGAUGACGUGACAGUAAACUAAAAGUGUGGUUAAUUAGGGCAAAUCCAAAAGUCAUGGUCACAGCCCGUGACAUGGGGCAGGCAGAAACCGACAGGGAUCAUCCAUAAUCACAAUCAAGAAAAGAGCCACUGGUCUAAAGCAGGAAGUAAAUCAGAAAUACAAGGACAAGGGGACACGUAAAAACAGGAAACCACUGGCGCAGACUCAACGAACUUAGCUAUGAUAAGAUUUUGCAAAGGUACAAACACAUUGAAGGGUAUAAAUAGGAAGUCUAAUCAAGAACUAAACUGAAAGCAGAUGAAAACAAUGGGAAAAUCAACCACUGACAAAACAAGGGUGAGACAAGACCAGGACGAGAAAACAUGGAAUGCCAAAAUAAGAGUUCAAGAGCCCCAAUGCAUGCUGAGGGGUGAGAAUUGCAUGACACAGUCUUGCACAAAAUAGCACAAUGGCUGUUAUUGAGAAACUUCAUGCCAGUUGAUGAGUCAUACUGUCAUCCAUCCUCAUCCUCGUUGACUGCUCAGCAGCCUUUGACAAGAAUCUCCUGUGCAUUAUAAUGAGUAUGACAGUGGUUUGUUUCAUACCUGCAAGGACAGUCAUAUCAGCGGACAUGGAGGAGAUCCUCAUAUGCUCUCCACUGGCAUCCCAUAAGGCUCUGUGCUGGGUCCUCUUCUGUUUUCCCUCUAUAACCUGCUCUCUCAGAGAAGAGAGAUCCUCACAUGGAUUUUCAUACCAAUGAUGACACCCAAUUCAUCAUCAAUUCAUCAUCAAUUCUAUUGCCUCAGACCAAGAUCUUGUGAUAAUCUGGGAUCUUGGAUCCAAUCUACUAUCAUUGGGGUAGUUCUGGAUAACUGACUAUACUUCUCUCCUUGCAUUGCAAACCAGACUUGUUCAUGCAGGUUUCUUCUUUACAACAUUUGCAGGAUCCAGCCACUUCUAUCCACAAUGUCCACUCAGGUGCUUGUUCAGUCACUUACUAUCUUGAGACUGGACUACUGCAACUCGCUACUGUCUGGUCUGCCCCAUGCCCAUCCUACACUUACAACUGAUCAAGAAUGCAGCUGUAAGAUUUGUUUCCAACCUCCCCAAGUUCUCCCAAAUCAACCCAUCCCUGCAAUCCCUCCGCUGGCUUCCUGUAGCUGCCUGCAUCAGCUUUAAAACAGUGAUGCUUGCCUACAAAGCCAAAACCAGACCAGCACCUGCCUACCUGAAGGUAUGACACCAUGCUCUGCAUCAUGUUCUCUUAGGACCCACCAUCCCUGAAGAUACAAGUAAAACAUGGAUCAAGACUCUCCUCUGUCCUGGCAAAACAAGUGGUGGAAUGAACUUCCCCUGACUGUCCAUACAGCUCAGUCACUGGCUUUAGUCACAAGACUAAUGACCAACCUCUUCACCAAGCACUUCAAUUAGCAUUUGUUUAAUUAUCUCUCUUAAAAAAAAAGAUCCUUGAGUUGUCUUUUUAAUUUCUUUCUGCUUUCUGUACUAACCUUCCCUAAGAGGGUUUUAGGUUGAUGGUAUUCUUAGACAGUGACCUAGUGAACUAGCAUGAAAGCAACAAGUUCUACACUGCAGCAAAAUCGUGUCUUAGCAAGUAAAACCUCUUGAACAUAGGCAACUAUUAUAUUUCUCAUGGUGAGAUUAGAUUACUAAACUAUGUUAUUUAGGACAAUUGUACUGUAUUACUAUAGUAUGCAUAAUUUUACUUUUUUCUUUAAUUUAUUUGUUUUUUAAAAAAGCUAAAUGAGAAUUGAAAGACCUCAUUUGAGGAUAAAACUGUCUCAAUAUAGAAUAAAUAAUAAUAUCGUAUAAUCUAGUAUAGAAAAGACUGAAGCUAACAUAUAUUUUGGAUGUGCAGAUGAGCCGGCAGGAAUUUUGAACGGAUAUAUCGGCUGAAAUGAUGAGCUUUUUCGAACCCUAGAGCAGUUUUUCUGAACAUUUGGGUGCCUGAAGCAAAAACCCCUCCAAGCACAUUCUACUUCUCCAGGCGAUCCUCAGACAGACCACUAUAUAAUAACCAUACAGUGUUUUAUUCACGUGUACUAAUCAGCUCUGUUGUUUUUGAGAGUCAUUACUUUGAGUCACCAGAUACAGCUGUACAGAUCUCCAUACUAUCAAAGAUACUUGAUCAGCUGCAUCUUUGUUGUCCCUCAGAGGAGUGGGAUGUGGUGCUGGAGAACAGGAAGUGAAUGACUCAGGAAAGGUACCAGAUGGUUUCACACUGUCCUCAAAUUUUAGUGAAAUCAGAGAAUGGUAAAAAAAAUAAAAUAAAUAAAAAUGUGUAUGUUCAUAUGGCAUUCAAGCUGUCCACCCUGCAGUGCUGUUUGGUCAUAAGACUUCGACUAUUCAUUUAGCGAACACAAAAAAUACUUUUCUCUAGCUUGGUGUUUUUGGCUUGGUUGGCCUGGUUUCCUACUUGGUUUUCUUGCCCUCCAGCUACACUCCUUGUUAAUAACUACCAGAUGCUUGUGUUCAUUUGGGCUUACUAUAAUUGUACACUAUGUAUACCAUUGAGUUUUAUAUAAAGUCUCUUACUAUUUCCUCUAUCUUUUACUUUAUUCUCUCUCUCUCUCUCUCUCUCUCUCUCUCUCUCUCUC
ensembl:lncRNA